UUCCUACACAAAUGUCCAUUUCAAGAAGAUUCUCCAGUAGUUUUAUAUAUGUUUAGAAAAUUCAUUACCUUAGCUAACAGUGUUUUGCCACACCCAGGAGGCCCUGCAAGAAGGACACCAGCUGGAGUAGUCAGGCCCAGAGCUUUAAAUUGCUCAGGGUUUCGCACAGGUGCCUGUAAAAGCAAUUAUCAGUUAGCUGUGAGAAAAACCUAACAUAAAACUUUUCAUUUCAGUUACAACUGGAUGAAGCAAUCAUUCAUAAAUGAGUUCUUUAUCCCAAUUCUUUGUAGGAUAAAAAAAAAACAACACAGGAAACAAAAAAACAGCCAUUCAGCAUCUUAUUAUCUUGCACUGAUGUUCAGCUUCUAAACCUGCUAAAUCUUCUUGUUCCUUUUCGUUACUGAUUAUUCCAAACACUGUAAAGGCUUGCUGAGAAGGAAAGGAACAAGAAAUAGAAACAUUAGAUAACCACUCUCACUUGGGCUGCUGGCUGAGCUGCAUCUCUCUAACCUCACCCUCCACUUUGGGCUGAUCCACUUUGCUUCCUAACCCC